rfam:Haemonchus contortus, ISE/inbred ISE, WGS project CAVP01000000 data, contig: Hcontortus_36959
GGUACCCAAACUUGAAGUAGAGUAGAUUAGAAUGAUCAUCUGACCCUACCAGACUACUCUACUUUGAGUUUGUGCCC